CCUUCUAGUUUUUCUUCCAAAUCUUGCUCAUGCUCUUUUUUUCAUCUCCACCUGAAAGAUACCGUCUAUUGUAUUAAAGUCCAUCUCAAAUAACACGUCUGAUUCUUCCACCUGCAUUUGGUCACUUCUUAAUGUUAUGUUUCUUUGCUAGUGGCAAUGGUCUGCAUAUUUGUUUUAUCUCCUUGCAGUGUGAUUCAGGCUAAGGCACAUGAGCGCUGGAUUUAGAGAGAGAUCCAGAUGAAGACCCUGGCUGUACUAUUUACUAUGACCACGCUUAACGCUGAUGAUGCAGAAAGAAAAGACAGAAUGGCUCUUCUCUGGCAGUUGUUUAACGCAAAUGGAUCUCAAAGGUCAGGAAUGAGAAGAUGAAAACGGAAUUGAAGCAGAUUAAAUCAAGGCACAACAUUGUCACCCAUGGUACAUGUACAUCUGCACCCAGGGUUCUGCUCAGAGAACCCUCACAGAGCUUCUUUCUCUCUGCGCCACCUUUUUAAAAUCUUUAUUUAUUUGCGGGGAGGGGGGGCAGAGAGAGAAAGGGGGAGACCCAGAAUCCAAAGCAGGCUCCAGGCUCUGAGCUGUCAACACAGAGCCUGAUGCAGGGCUUAAACUCAUGAAUCGCGAGAUCAUGACCUGAGCCAAAGUCGGCCACUUGACCAACCGAGCCACCCAGGUGCCCCUCUCUCUGCUUUUAAAAGAAAACUGGACAGUCUCCUGCAGUUCCAAAGUAGAGUGG